AUGCGGUCCACAAAGGUGGUCUUUGUGAGACGUGACGACACGCCGGUAUCUGUUACAGAAUUGGCAGGUUCAGCGCUUCCCCUAGUGUCUGCUUCUGAAAUACUAAACUCAUCUGGGUUGCAAGGCACGACUCAAGGAAACAAGUGUCAAGAUCAGAGAGAAUCUCAUAGGAUUCAUUCACUUCUUCGAAUGUGGUUUAAAGGACAAGUGAAUCCUGCAACAGCUGAUCUUUAAGGAAGACUUGUCUUUUUCAAAUGGCAGGCACAGAGUGACUGGUAGCAGGAAACUAGGAGAGAAUGGAGAUAGAGGGUCACAAAGUAUAGAAAAGCAAGGUGAGCCCUAAAAGGUUGAGAUCAGAUGUUUGGAAUUGAUUUGAAACAACAUAAAAGUCUAAACAUAUAUGAGCGUAAAGUAUCUGUUCUCAGGACCUGCCUAGAACAUUUAUUGAAGCUAGGAUUUAUGAACAUGGCAAAAGAGUUAAAAGAAAUGAGCCCAUGAUAUGAUUAAUACAUUUUGUUUAUAUGAAUAAUUUAGGUAUAAAUAUAUUCAUGAAUUUUUAAUUACUAUAAAGUGGAAUUUGGAUAUUACAUGACAGUUCUCUCUCUUUAAAGAAUUGGUGGUUGCCCUUGGUCAUUCUGGUAGCGAAAAUUGGAAGCCUCCUUUUAAGUGCCUAUUUUCACUCACAGUUAUUCUCAGCCUAAUUUAGUUUUUCAAAAUGAUUUUUAGGAAUAACCAGUGGAAAUCAGUGUCAUCAUUGCUUUGCUUCCAUCAAUGAUCACUGCAGAUUUCUAUCUACUGUUACCUAGGCUGUAGCUAUAGUUGAUAGAUAGUCAUCAUAAACAGUAGAGUCCAAAGGCAAAGUCAGACCCAGGGCUCUUGAACUCCUUAAAUUAAUUUCCUGCCUUUCUGGACUAAUGCACAUGCUACUAUUCAGGAGCUCUGUAUUAUCCAAAAGCCCCUUCUUAAUUUGUGAUAGUUAGGAGGUUCCUCCACUCUUAGGUUCCUUUGUCUUUCCAAUGUCAUCUUGUCUGUAUCACAAGAAAGUUCUCAAAAAUUCAAACUGUUGAUAGCACCACUACUUUCUCUCCUUAAUGCUAUUAUUGAUUUUGUUUUUUGACGUUCAAAUAUGGUCUGUCCUUUCGAAUAACUUUCAGUGCAAGGUGAUACCAAGUUGUGGACUUUAUUGGCCAGCAUGAUAUAGAAGUUCUAAAAUUUGUACACUGUGAAACGUUCUGGCCUUUGGUAGCUUGGAAGAAA
rnacentral:lncRNA from 1 species